rnacentral:rRNA from 1 species
GACGAACGCUGGCGGCGUGCUUAACACAUGCAAGUCGAACGGAAAGGCCCUGCUUUUGUGGGGUGCUCGAGUGGCGAACGGGUGAGUAACACGUGAGUAACCUGCCCUUGACUUUGGGAUAACUUCAGGAAACUGGGGCUAAUACCGGAUAGCAGCUCCUGCUGCAUGGUGGGGGUUGGAACGUUUCGGCGGUUGGGGAUGGACUCGCGGCUUAUCAGCUUGUUGGUGGGGUAGUGGCUUACCAAGGCUGUGACGGGUAGCCGGCCUGAGAGGGUGACCGGCCACAUUGGGACUGAGAUACGGCCCAGACUCCUACGGGAGGCAGCAGUGGGGAAUAUUGCACAAUGGGCGGAAGCCUGAUGCAGCAACGCCGCGUGCGGGAUGACGGCCUUCGGGUUGUAAACCGCUUUCGCCUGUGACGAAGCGUGAGUGACGGUAAUGGGUAAAGAAGCACCGGCUAACUACGUG